rnacentral:rRNA from 1 species
AAGCGCUGGCAACCAGACUCGAGCGCGGUGUUCCCCCUGGCUUCUGCUAGGGUUACUUCACCGUGUCCGGGCCAUCAUCAGUUUUGGGGACCGGUCAAAGGCCCCGGGAAUGUAUCGUCUCCUUCGGGGGACGACUUAUAGCCCGGGGUGUCAUGCGGCCUUCCGGGAUUGAGGAAC